rnacentral:rRNA from 1 species
CGCCUGUUUAUCAAAAACAUCUCUUCUCGUUAGUUUUUGAAGUAUGGCCUGCCCACUGACCUUGAAUGUUGAAGGGCCGCGGUAUUUUGACCGUGCAAAGGUAGCAUAGUCAUUAGUUCUUUAAUUGUGAUCUGGUAUGAAUGGCUUGACGAGGUAUAAGCUGUCUUAAUUUUGAAUUGUUUAUUGAAUUUGGUCUUUGAGUUAAAAUUCUUAGAUGUUUUUAUGGGACGAGAAGACCCUAUAGAGUUUGACAUUUAUUCACGGUCUCUUUCUGUUUGUGAGGGUUCACUAGGGCUGUUUAAUAUGUUUUGUUGGGGUGAUGGGAGGGAUAUUAUUUAACCCCUCCUUUGUGUUGUUAUAUUUAUUUAUAUUUGCUUGAUCCAUUUAUUUUGAUUGUAAGAUUAAAUUACCUUAGGGAUAACAGCGUAA